GGCAAGAUGGCCGAGUGGUUAUGGCGUGUGACUCAAGCUGCUGCUUCAUCGAUUUAAUCGACGUGGAUUCUCAUGGGCUUUGCCCGCAGGGGUUCGAAUCCCCUUCUUGUCA